GCGGAGGUAGCUCAGUUGGUAGAGCGUGAUCUUGCCAAGGUCGAGGCCGCGGGUUCGAGCCCCGUCCUCCGCUCCA
rnacentral:tRNA from 2 species